AGAGUUUGAUCCUGGCUCAGAUUGAACGCUGGCGGCAGGCCUAACACAUGCAAGUCGAGCGGUAGAGAGAAGCUUGCUUCUCUUGAGAGCGGCGGACGGGUGAGUAAUGCCUAGGAAUCUGCCUGGUAGUGGGGGAUAACGUUCGGAAACGGACGCUAAUACCGCAUACGUCCUACGGGAGAAAGCAGGGGACCUUCGGGCCUUGCGCUAUCAGAUGAGCCUAGGUCGGAUUAGCUAGUUGGUGGGGUAACGGCUCACCAAGGCGACGAUCCGUAACUGGUCUGAGAGGAUGAUCAGUCACACUGGAACUGAGACACGGUCCAGACUCCUACGGGAGGCAGCAGUGGGGAAUAUUGGACAAUGGGCGAAAGCCUGAUCCAGCCAUGCCGCGUGUGUGAAGAAGGUCUUCGGAUUGUAAAGCACUUUAAGUUGGGAGGAAGGGCCAUUACCUAAUACGUGAUGGUUUUGACGUUACCGACAGAAUAAGCACCGGCUAACUCUGUGCCAGCAGCCGCGGUAAUAC
rnacentral:rRNA from 1 species